rnacentral:rRNA from 1 species
CACGUAGGGUGCGAGCGUUGUCCGGAAUUAUUGGGCGUAAAGAGCUCGUAGGCGGUGUGUCGCGUCGGCCGUGAAAACCUGCAGCUUAACUGUGGGCGUGCGGUCGAUACGGGCAUCACUGGAGUUCGGCAGGGGGAGACUGGAAUUCCUGGUGUAGCGGUGAAAUGCGCAGAUAUCAGGAGGAACACCGGUGGCGAAGGCGGGUCUCUGGGCCGAUACUGACGCUGAGGAGCGAAAGCGUGGGUAGCAAACAGG